rnacentral:misc_RNA from 1 species
CCGAGUUUACAACUCCCAAACCCCUGUGAACAUACCUCUUGUUGCCUCGGCGGAUCAGCCCGCUCCCGGUAAAACGGGACGGCCCGCCAGAGGACCCCUAAACUCUGUUUCUAUAUGUAACUUCUGAGUAAAACCAUAAAUAAAUCA